rnacentral:lncRNA from 1 species
GUGAUCCUCCCACCUCAGCCUCCUGAGUAGCUAGGACUACAGGUGCACGCCACCAUGCCCAGCUAAUUUUUAAAAUUUUUUUGUAGAGUCGGGGUCUCACUAUAUUGCCCAGGCUGGUCUCAAACUCCUGGCUCAAGCAAUCCGCCUGCCUUGGCCUCCUAAAGCGUUGGGAUUGCAGGUGUAAGCCACUGCACCUGGCCUAUAAUUUUCAUUUCUAGGAUUUUUAUUUGGUGCUUUUUCAAAGUCAUCUAUUAUUGUUCCAGUGAGUCCCAUUCUUACCUUAAGGAUCCUACUCCUUCUGUCCAUUCUACUGUAUCAUUCCUUUCAUACCGACCUAUUAUCUGAAGUAACUUGGGUGGGAGUUCUCCUCGUGGGCUUUGAAAUACUGUCUUCAGUAGAAAAGAUCUUAUGCAAAGUUCUGCAUGUGCUGUGUGUUAUGGAGUAUUCCUUAUAUAUUACUCAAAGCAGCUCCAUAAACUGGCAGGCAGCCCCUUAAAUGUGUUUCUGUUUCUGUUUUUUUGUUUUUUGGUCUGCAUGAUGUUUUAAAACUUGAGACAGGCCAGGUGCGGUGGCUUAUGCCUGUAAUCCCAGCACUUUGGGAGGCCAAGGUGGGAGGAUCACUUGAACCCGGGGGUUUGAGGCUAGCCUGGGCAACAUAGGGAGACCCCAUCUCUACAAAUAAUAAUUUUUAAAACAUCAGCCAGGUGUGGGGGCAUGCACCUCUGGUCCCAGCUACUCAGGAGGCUGAGGCAGGAGGAUUGCUUGAACCUGGGAGGUGGAGGCUGCAGUGAACCGUGGUUGUGCCACUGCACUCCAGCCUGGGUGACAGAGUGAGACCCUUACAUGGUGGCCACUGGCUGGAGCUGAGUAUCAGUGGUCCUAUUUAGAAAGGGGCUGGGCUUUCUGGUUCAUCACUGUCCCCGCCACUCCUUAGUGCUUAUACCUGGCCCACAUCACUCAUUUCUGUCAUCUGCCUGGCCCCUGUGUAGACGUUUGAGUUUGAAACCCUUGACUCAAAGGCGGGCUGAUGCUUUUUGCUUCCUCUGGAUCAAUGGAAUUUCAUCCAAGGCAAUGGAACCAGCUCCUAAUUGUGAUAACUUUUUGAUCAUCCCCUGCCGCUGUGCUGAAUAGGCUUAUGGCCAUUAAGAAGAGAGGACAGGAUGAAUGGUCCCCUGACUGACUGCCCUUCCAGGGUGUUUUUUUAGCUGUCAGCAGAAGCAUGCGGGGCAGUGUACCAAUCAGGUGUCAGCAAGUGUCCUUCCAGCGACUGAGUUGAGCACAAAAACAUCUGCUCCUGGAGAGACCUGAGCCCUCUGAAGGCCUCAGCCAGUUAUGAUGUUAAUGUUCUUUUAGAACAAAGUGGUAGAGCAUUUGUUGUCUGGAAUGAGCACCAGAAGAAAUCUCUGGCCAAAAAUAAAUUGUUGAGGGCCGGGAGCAGUGGCUUAUGCCUGUAAUCCCAACACUUUGGGAGGCCGAAGCAGGAGGAUCACCUGAGGUCAGGAGUUCGAGACCAGCCUGGCCAACAUGGUGAAACCCUGUCUCUCCUAAAAAUACAAAAAUUAGCUGGACGUGGUGACAGGUGCCUGUAAUACAGCUACUGGGAGGCUGAGGCAGGGAGAACUGCUUGAACCCGGAAGGUGGAGGUUGCAGUGAGCCGGGAUAGUGCCACUGCACUCCAGCCUAGAUAACAGAGCAAGACUCUGUCUCAAAAAACAACAACAACAACAACAAAACAAUUCUAUGACUGAAAGUGACUAAAAAGCUGGCUUUAUGCCAUUAACACUCUGUACUUUGCAGCCAAUCAGAACUGACGCAGUCUGGGUGCUAGCUGCUUCAAAAGCAACCCACACCACACUUUUACCAUUUCCAUACAUCAACUGCUGAGAAUAUGAAAAUGCACAGUGACAGGUUUUAGGAUCCUGCUUCAGGAUUUCCUUUUCCUGGUUUGGUCACUAGAGUUGGCUAUUUAUCUGUUUCUAAACAAUAGCUAUUUUAUCGAAUAGUUUAGAGACCACUAUUAAAUAUUGUGACUGAUGAAGGAUCUGUGAAUUUUUUUAUAUAUGUUCUAAGAGUUACCAUUUUGAUACCUUUUAAAAACCAGCAGCUUUCUACUAUAUUCAUGUAAGACAGCAUGAAUAAAACCAUUUUUUGAUACAGGGUUUUAUUUGGCUUUAAACUCAGGAACCAAGUUAAUUAUGCCAGAUUGAACUUUGAUUUUUACUACCUUUUCAAAGAUAUUUUAAAAAGUGGAUUACUACAUAUGAUUUCUUUGGAGCUUACAUUUCUUUACUUCACGAAUUCUAUGUCACUGUUACAAGUUUCCAUUCUGAUGGCUUCUGGGCCUUUGUACCUUUGUUUUUGGUGCCUUAUUCCUAGUAUGUUUCUAUCACCUUAAUGAGGCCGCAGAUGGAGUCAGAAUGUGAAAUUACAAAUAAUCACUGGAUCCAUCUACUGUUUUCCAUCACCUUCCCCACUGAUGCUCUGGGCGAGAGAGUGAUGUGUCACUUCAACUGUGUGUAAUAUGUCAGACACGUCCUACAAUAACAGGCGUCAUAUUUGUAUUAUUUUUAGUUUACUGUAGAAAAUAAUGUCACCGCCAAAGGUGAUGAGAGUCACGUUUUGUAGGAUCUGUUUUCUUAUACUUAAAGACAGACUUCUGCUACGGUAAUUGCCAGUAUUCAUGGCUUCCUUUCUGUGUCAGAAGAGAAGGGAUCUGCUUUCUCUUGGCUGAUUUCACAUAGCAUUGGUAAUAGACAUGCAUUUCUCUUUCUAAAGGGGAGUAACUUUUUAAACCCUUCCUGAUUUUAGCCUGGCAAUGUAAGUGUCCUUAAUGUGACUGUUUUGAUAAUUAAAAAAAGGUAUAUAAUUUAUUUAAAUCUU